rnacentral:rRNA from 1 species
UGGGGAAUUUUGGACAAUGGGGGCAACCCUGAUCCAGCCAUGCCGCGUGUGCGAAGAAGGCCUUCGGGUUGUAAAGCACUUUUGGCAGGAAAGAAACGGCGCCGGCUAAUAUCUGGCGUAACUGACGGUACCUGCAGAAUAAGCACCGGCUAACUACGUGCCAGCAGCCGCGGUAAUACGUAGGGUGCAAGCGUUAAUCGGAAUUACUGGGCGUAAAGCGUGCGCAGGCGGUUCGGAAAGAAAGAUGUGAAAUCCCAGGGCUCAACCUUGGGAACUGCAUUUUUUAACUCCCCGAACUAGAGUGUGUCAGAGGGGGGUGGAAUUCCACGUGUAGCAGUGAAAUGCGUAGAUAUGUGGAGGAACACCGAUGGCGAAGGCAGCCCCCUGGGAUAACACUGACGCUCAUGCACGAAAGCGUGGGGAGCAAACAGGAUUAGAUACCCUGGUAGUCCACGCCCUAAACGAUGUCAACUAGCUGUUGGGUUCUUCGGAGCUUGGUAGCGCAGCUAACGCGUGAAGUUGACCGCCUGGGGAGUACGGUCGCAAGAUUAAAACUUAAAUGAAUUG